UUAUUUUGAUUUUGGUAAGCAAAGACUUUGUGCCAUGCUUCAAUAUAUUCACUAUAUUUAUAUGAUUUAUAUUGGAAUACUGGAUUGAGAAGCUUUUUCCCUUGAUUGGGAUUGCAGCCCCAAUCUUCAUAUGAAAGUAACCUUUUGAUUUGCAAUUUUGAAUAUGCAAAUAUUUUGGUAUUUUCUUGGUAGAAAUGUACUAUGG
rnacentral:lncRNA from 1 species